rnacentral:tRNA from 1 species
AGAAACUUAGGUUAACUAAACCAGGGGCCUUCAAAGCCCCAAACAGGAACCCCCACCUCCUAGCUUCUG